rnacentral:rRNA from 1 species
AUUGAACGCUGGCGGCAUGCCUUACACAUGCAAGUCGAACGGUAACGCGGGGCAACCUGGCGACGAGUGGCGAACGGGUGAGUAAUACAUCGGAACGUGCCCAGUAGUGGGGGAUAGCCCGGCGAAAGCCGGAUUAAUACCGCAUACGACCUACGGGUGAAAGCAGGGGAUCGCAAGACCUUGCGCCAUUGGAGCGGCCGAUGUCAGAUUAGGUUGUUGGUGGGGUAAAGGCCUACCAAGCCGACGAUCUGUAGCUGGUCUGAGAGGACGACCAGCCACACUGGGACUGAGACACGGCCCAGACUCCUACGGGAGGCAGCAGUGGGGAAUUUUGGACAAUGGGCGCAAGCCUGAUCCAGCCAUGCCGCGUGCGGGAAGAAGGCCUCGGUUGUAACGACUUUGUC